rnacentral:rRNA from 1 species
GACGAGCUCCCCAAACGUUAUUCGGUAUCACUGGGCUUAAAGAGUUCGUAGGCGGCGCGGAAAGUAGGGUGUGAAAGCCCCUCGGCUCAACCGAGGAAUUGCGCUCUAAACUGCCGCGCUCGAGGAACCUAGAGGUGAGCAGAACUGAUGGUGGAGCGGUGAAAUGCGUUGAUAUCAUCAGGAAUACCGGAGGCGAAGGCGGCUCACUGGGGGUUAUCUGACGCUGAGGAACGAAAGCCAGGGGAGCAAACGGG